GCAUGUGAGGGUGAUCUGGUUGUGACAUCUCUCAUCCCAUUGAUGGCAAGGGAUGAUUCACUUGUUCUGACUGGCUAGACCAGGUGCCCCCCUCCUUUCCUCCCUGAUCCACAUGUAUCCCCCCGAACUGACCCACAGUAAAACUCCAGUUGUAGAAAAGCCCUUAACUGAGCAGAAGUUCCUGCAUGUGAUUAUUAUGUGACUAGGCCUGUUCUACACAAUUUGGUUCUCAUACAGCUUCCCCCGCUAAUCUUGGUGGUCAUCGUU